rnacentral:rRNA from 1 species
GAUGAACGCUUUCUUCUUUCUUAACACAUGCAAUUCGAACGUAAAGGCUCCUGCUUGCAGGGGUACUCGAGUGGCGAACGGGUGAGUAACACGUGGGUGAUCUGCCCUGCACUUCGGGAUAAGCCUGGGAAACUGGGUCUAAUACCGGAUAGGACGAUGGUUUGGAUGCCAUUGUGGAAAGUUUUUCGGUGUGGGAUGAGCUCGCGGCCUAUCAGCUUGUUGGUGGGGUAAUGGCCUACCAAGGCGUCGACGGGGAGCCGGCCUGAGAGGGUGUACGGCCACAUUGGGACUGAGAUACGGCCCAGACUCCUACGGGAGGAAGCAGUGGGGAAUAUUGCACAAUGGGCGCAAGCCUGAUGCAGCGACGCCGCGUGGGGGAUGAAGGAAUUCGGGUUGUAAACUCCUUUCGCUAGGGACGAAGCGCAAGUGACGGUACCUGGAGAAGAAGCAAAGGAUAACUACGGG